AGGGAAGUUUGGUGUGGAAAAAAGUUGUACAGGCAGUGGUCAGCAAAAGUUUAAUAAUUCUGAGUUCUCACUGGACAAGUGAAUUAAAUAAUUCAAGGCACUUUCACAGCUACUGCAUUCAAUUUAUGAGCCUAGAUUGCUGAUAUCACAUGUGGUUCAGGAAAAUCUGCACCAGUCCAUAUCAUUAUCACCUUCAAUUCAAACUCUCUUACAGCUACACUAGUUUGGGAAUGUUCAGUGUGAAAAUUAAGUUCCUUACAAAAGCAGAGCUGAACCACCACAGGAAUCCAGAAGCAACUGGAAAUUCACCGUGCCGAGUGCUGCACAAAUAGCUAGAGACGGUCCCUUCCCCAUGCAGCAGGAGAAACAGCAGCAAUCUUCUAAAACUGUGUGUCAAGAGUUCCGUUGAAUGAAACAACAAUCAGGUUUUCGUGAAAACAGAGAGGAAAGUAAACUGUGGCAGAAUAGAAGAGGAUGCUGUUCUCAGCCCCAGAGGGCAGGAAAGCCAAGCACGUGAGAAAUACCUGCUGAACUGAGUACAUUCACUCUUGGAAGAAAAAUGUUCUUUCAAUUUAGAAGUGUAUGUAAUUAUCCUCUUCCCCUCCCAGCACAUGUAAACAUAUCUGGCACCAGUUCUGGCCUUUACAGGAUGUUUUUAUGUCACUGUGGGGAAGAGGGGAAAAAAAUAAAAAUAAAAAAAUAAAAAUAAAAUAAAGCUGUAAAGGUCUUGAAUGAGCACUUGUGGUGUAAAAAAAGCUGUCACCAACAUAGAGAAUAGCC